UUAGGGUUGAAAAUUAUUAGACUAUUAUAAUCUCUCAAACUAUUCAAUUGCAUAUGUUAGAUUAUUAGCUAAGUACAUGACUUGAGAAAUAUAGAAAAGAAGUAGUCAAGCAGGCAAAAAAUUCACUCGGCCAAGUUGGGCACCGACUCGAUCAAGUUAAACACUCGA